UGGGGUGUCCUAUGAUCAUUUUGGUCAAGGGGAUGAAUUAUAUGAAAACUAUAUCCGCAUGGGUUCUAAGGAUGUUGUUCUACACAUUCGACCUAUCCGGUCGUCGGGUACCAUUGCUAGAUGGUCACUUCGAUUGGUACAGAAAUUUAUUCCUACUACCGGCUUAGGUUCGGACCUAUGAGGUCACAAACAUUAGAGUUCAUGAUCCGAUCGGAUGGUUGAUCAACGAUUAAGAAUCGUUCUAGGGUUAAAUGAUCAAUACGAUUGACAUUUAACCCAGUGCAAGUAUUGUAGGAGGAUCGAUUAGCAAUUCGAUUGCUAAUUGGCUUAAUUUGAUUAAGCCAAUGGGCUGAGAUUAAGUCUAAUUAAAUAUAAUUUAAUUAGAUUUAUAUUGGACUUG
rnacentral:lncRNA from 1 species